UUCAAAUACGGGUUCUCAUAUGAUCACUGAAGUUAAACAAUGUCAAGCCUGGUCAGUACUUAACUGGGUGACCACUUGGAAACAUCAGGUGCUGUAU